rnacentral:rRNA from 1 species
GGAUAACCUACCCUUAGGACUGGGAUAACCCUGGGAAACUGGGGAUAAUACCGGAUAGGCAAUUUUUCCUGGAAUGGUUUUUUGUUUAAAUGUUUUUUCGCCUAAGGAUGGGUCUGCGGCCGAUUAGGUAGUUGGUUAGGUAACGGCUUACCAAGCCAUUGAUCGGUACGGGUUGUGAGAGCAAGAGCCCGGAGAUGGAACCUGAGACAAGGUUCCAGGCCCUACGGGGUGCAGCAGGCGCGAAACCUCCGCAAUGUGAGAAAUCGCGACGGGGGGAUCCCAAGUGCCAUUCUUAACGGGAUGGCUUUUCAUUAGUGUAAAAAGCUUUUAGAAUAAGAGCUGGGCAAGACCGGUGCCAGCCGCCGCGGUAACACCGGCAGCUCUAGUGGUAGCAACUUUUAUUGGGCCUAAAGCGUCCGUAGCCGGUUUAAUAAGUCUCUGGUGAAAUCCUGUAGCUUAACUGUGGGAAUUGCUGGAAAUACUAUUAGACUUGAGACCGGGAGAGGUUAGAGGUACUCCCAGGGUAGAGGUGAAAUUCUGUAAUCCUGGGAGGACCGCCUGUUGCGAAGGCGUCUAACUGGAACGGUUCUGACGGUGAGGGACGAAAGUUAGGGGCGCGAACCGGAUUAGAUACCCGGGUAGUCCUAACU